UACGUAGGGGGCAAGCGUUGUCCGGAUUUAUUGGGCGUAAAGAGCUCGUAGGCGGUUUCGUAAGUCGGGUGUGAAAACUCUGGGCUCAACCCAGAGACGCCACCCGAUACUGCGAUGACUAGAGUCUGGUAGGGGAUCGUGGAAUUCCUGGUGCAGCGGUGAAAUGCGCAGAUAUCAGGAGGAACACCAGCGGCGAAGGCGGCGAUCUGGGCCAGUACUGACGCUGAGGAGCGAAAGCGUGGGGAGCGAACAGG
rnacentral:rRNA from 1 species